CAGGGAAGGAGAAGGGCUCUGGUGAAGAUCACACUGCCCUCCUGAGGCUCCUGGGGGAGAAGGCAAAGUUGCACCAAGACCCCAUGCUGUUCUCUGAUGACAUUUUUUUCAUUGAGCCAAUGGAGGGAGAAAUUGGGCCGAAUUGUUUGGCCAAAAUCAAGGUGACCUUCAAACCCCUGGAAGCACUGGAGUAUGGAAGUGUGGCUUACUGCAGCAUCUCAGGUGGAACUGAUAAACCUAGGAGCUAUUGAUGCUCCCUUCACCUAUAGCC